GCACGAAGCGGUUCGUCCUGAGCGCGGGCAUCACAAAUGCAGGAGCCGUGACAUCCCUGAGCGCCCAGAACCUCUGCGCUGCAGAUGGCCUCGAGUUUGCUGUGAUCAACUCCGCCGCUGAAUACCAGCUGCUUCAUGCUCAAGUGGGACCCGAGAUCAGAUCCCGUUGCACAGCCGCGUGCUUGGCCUGGUUGUGGCUCAACUCUACGCAGCAAUGGGCUGAUGGAAGUUUUUUCAACCAGUGCCAGAUCGUCAUCGAACCGGCUUCAUCAGGCCCUUGCUUCGCUCAGGAGGCUUCGACACUCGAGGUGUGGAGGGGACCCUGCAUCUCACUCGGAUCCAUUCCUGUGAUCUGUCAAACUUACGUUUGAGUGCACAAGAAAAGGAGAGUCACGAUUGGCUGGGUAAAUUCCCAGUGAAACAGCAAGUAAUAGGUGAACGCACAUGAUAGUAACAAUAUUCAACUACUAUGAAUAUUGUUACUACUGUACUUCAAACCGGCUCACAGCCACGAAUAUCAGCAGUUUUUAUCCAGCGUGAGAAAUUUCCUGAUGUACCUACUCUUAACGGUGGACCUCGUAACGGUGGUCAAAUGUAUUUUCAUGAGUAUUAACUCAUUCGCCUGAUUAACGUUCAAUAAUAUCAGCCUUGUUAUUCCAUCUUAGAGCCAGAACAACGGAUUAAAACGCUCAGCCAUUAAUCCACAGCGGUGCCAGUGUUAUAAAUUAGCCCAUUAGGCCUGUCGCCGAUUCAGAACAUCGCCGAAUUUUCACAGCUUGCUGCGGGUCUCGAACACGCAACUCUCUGCACCAAUAUUGCUUUUGCUUAACCGUCUGACUAACUCGCCGAUUUUGACCAAAACUGUCACAGGAAGCUACGGUCGAACCCGCAACUCCCUGCCCCAAUUUUGGUACUAUGAACUGCAACCACUGCGUCACCCUGCCGGGGUUCAUACAGUAACAUAAAGUUGUGGUUAACGACAGUUUACGAGUAAUGUGAUCCGGUGAACUGUGGUUGCAGGGAAAUUAGUGAAGGUUAAAAUGGACGAAAGUUAACCUGUCACAGUAACUUUACCCGGGGUGACCGGUUUAACUGCUGUCGCAGGUUAAGCUAACGAUUCGUUGCUCGGGGAAUGUUUUUUUUUUUUUCUGACAGCACUAGGAGGCGUUUGAGUUGGUUUAUGGUGUUUGAUGUUUCAAUAAUUACAUUAUUUACAUGCACGAGUGCUGUACAACUUAGAUGUGAAUUCAAUAUAUUGACAAGCUAC